rnacentral:rRNA from 1 species
AACGAACGCUGGCGGCAGGCUUAACACAUGCAAGUCGAGCGCCCCGCAAGGGGAGCGGCAGACGGGUGAGUAACGCGUGGGAACGUGCCCUUUGGUUCGGAACAACUCCGGGAAACUGGAGCUAAUACCGGAUAAGCCCUUCGGGGGAAAGAUUUAUCGCCAAAGGAUCGGCCCGCGUCUGAUUAGCUAGUUGGUGGGGUAAUGGCCCACCAAGGCGACGAUCAGUAGCUGGUCUGAGAGGAUGAUCAGCCACACUGGGACUGAGACACGGCCCAGACUCCUACGGGAGGCAGCAGUGGGGAAUAUUGGACAAUGGGCGCAAGCCUGAUCCAGCCAUGCCGCGUGAGUGAUGAAGGCCUUAGGGUUGUAAAGCUCUUUUGUCCGGGAAGAUAAUGACUGUACCGGAAGAAUAAGCCCCGGCUAACUUCGUGCCAGCCGCCGCCGUAA